CAGUAGCCGCGGUAAAACAGAGGGUGCGAGCGUUAAUCGGAUUUACUGGGCGUAAAGCGUGCGUAGGAGGCUAAUUGAGUCGGAUGUGAAAUCCCCGAGCUUAACUUGGGAAUUGCAUUCGAUACUGGUUAGCUAGAGUGUGGGAGAGGAUGGUAGAAUUCCAGGUGUAGCGGUGAAAUGCGUAGAGAUCUGGAGGAAUACCGAUGGCGAAGGCAGCCAUCUGGCCUAACACUGACGCUGAGGUACGAAAGCAUGGGGAGCAAACAGGAUUAGAUACCCGAGUAGUCCCUGUCUCUUAUAA
rnacentral:rRNA from 1 species